rnacentral:misc_RNA from 1 species
GAUGAAGAACGUAGCGAAAUGCGAUACUUGGUGUGAAUUGCAGAAUCCCGUGAACCAUCGAGUCUUUGAACGCAAGUUGCGCCCGAAGCCAUUAGGCCGAGGGCACGCCUGCCUGGGCGUCACACGUCGUUGCCCCCCCAUCUACUCCUUCGGGAUUGCGGGGGGCGGAUGAUGGCCUCCCGUGCGCCUCGUCGCGCGGUUGGCCUAAAUGCCAAGUCCUCGGCGACGCACGCCACGACAAUCGGUGGUUGCGAAACCUCGGUUGCCUGUCGUGUGCGGUCGUCGCGCAUCGAGGGCUCGAAAAAAUUGCCGGGCUUCGGCUCGACUUUCAACGCAACCCCAGGUCAGGCGGGGUUACCCGCUGAAUUUAAGCAUAUCAAUAGCGGAGGA